GCCUAGUUGUUUGUUCAUGAAGAAAAGAAGAACAGGGAUUUGGGGACUAUCUAGAAGUCUCUGCCACAGCAGCAUUAAAUCUUUCUUUCGACUCCUAAAACAUAUAUACCUAGGAAACAAGAAGAGAGAGAAUCGGCCCUGUUUUCUAAAUGGGAAAGCUAAAGCAUAGACUGUGUGCUGAAAAUAGAAGCAAAAAGAGAUCUUUCCCUCCUUUGCCAUUAGGCCUGAGGCUAGUAUUAAGUGUCCCAAACCAUCCUGCCGGAAUGAAACACAGUGAGUUGAAAACACAUCUUAUCCUAGAGGAGAGGAGUCAGAGGAAUUAAGUAACUGACCUAGCUCCACCACUGGCUUCACUCAUUGCUUACUUCACAGUGAACCGUCUAUGAAAUUCACUGCCCACAAGAGGGGAAAUUGAACCUACUGACCUAUGCCAGAAGACUAUAUGCUUGCCAGUCAUUUCUCAAGUAGUGGUCUAGGGCUCAACCCUCCUCAGUAGCUCCAAAGUCUUACAGUGGUCAGUUAGGUUAACACUGGCUGCUCUACAAACCAAAAACCUGCUGAAAUCUCAGCAGCUUAACUCAUCAAUUUAUCUCUCCUGCAUGCAAAAACAAAAUGGGUGUUCUUGAAUCAGCUGCCCGAAUUCCUGGGAGCAGUGUUUGAAGACCCAACCUCCAUCCAAUUUACUGCUCUCCUACGUUCAACAUGUGAUUUCCAAGGUUACCCCAGAGGUGGUCAUCCAGACAGCAGAGAUCUAGAGAAACCUUAAUUUUGUUACCUACAGAAGAGAAUUGGGAAUCAAAGUCACAGAACUGAAGCAGAGGAGAGAGUUGCAGAGUUAACAUGAGGAUAAUAUUUUCCAUGUGGCAGAGAGCAACCAGGGGUCAGCAUGGGAAGGCAAGCAGAGGCCAGACUGCAAAAGAUCUUGUGUGUCAGACCAUCAUCUCAAAAGCUAUAAAAACCAUAGAAAUUAUUCAUCUCAGGAGUAGACAUUUCAUCUCCAUUUGAUGUCUAGAAGAACUAAAAAUUGGAUGUGGUUUUCCUCAGGAAAGACAAAGGAAGAAAUGAAUGAGGUAUUUCCAACCUCUACCUCAAGACUCCAAAAUAAAGGAUUGCUGCUGAUGAACUGAAAUGUAGCUCAUUUUUAAAUACAAAAGAGUGGUGCUUCUCAUCUCAUGAAGGUCUGCCAAGGCAUCUCUGCUUCAGGCUACAGGAUCAGUUCUGGCAUAUUACACAUAUCUCAUUCUGGGAAUAACAGCUCCUCAAGGGCAUGCUCUUUGCAUGGCAGAGAGAGAACUCUUCAAAGGGAUUGCCACAUUAUUUGCCAUGCCAUUGGUAGCCUCAGCUUAACUGGCAUACUAUUAUUUUCACCCACAUUUAACUGGUGAAAGAAAGUCAGAUGGCCAAGUCCAGCAUGAGAGAAGUAUACUCCACCCCAUGGAAGCCAUGACAAGGAUUGAGAGGUAAGGACAAAUUGUGAACAAAUAAUAUAAUCUACUGCACCAAACCCCUAUUCAACAUCUUCCAAAAAACAUCUCAAAUAAAAAUCUCCCAACUUCUGAUGGAAAAAAUUGAUUUGACCUU